rnacentral:rRNA from 1 species
UGAAGCGGGAAGAGCUCAAGCUUGAAUCUUCGGAAUUGUAGUCUAUAGGCAGCAUCUCGUGCAGACCCGGGUAUAAAUCCGUUCUUGGAACUGGGUGCCAGAGAGGGUUAGAGCCCCGUCUUUGACUCGGUGUAUGCGCGUGGUGAGUGCUUGCCAGAGAGUCGGCUUGCUUGGGAAUGCAGGUCAAAAUGGGUGGUAAACUUCAUCUAAAGCUAAAUAUUGGCGAGAGACCGAUAGCGAACAAGUACUGUGAAGGAAAGAUGGAAAGCACUUUGAAAAGAGAGUGAAAAAGGGCCUGAAAUUGUUAAGAGGAUAAGGGGUUGGAGCAUAUCAUAUCUCAAGUAUUCAACGGCGCCCUCGGGCGCCUUACCUGCUUGGGGUUGGUCAGCAUCUAUUCUUGGCGGGGGAGAAGACGUGGCCUGAUCAUUUCGGUGUGACGGACGCGGGAAACCCUGUUGGGGAUAGAGGCACAAAGAGCGCGCAUAGCGACCGGCCCUCUGUGCGUGUGUGUAUGAGGGACUGAUCCAUUGGUAUCUGUUUUUUAUGCAUAUUCGACGCGGGGGAGCGCUGGAUCAGCGUUCUAAAGAUGCUGGCACAAAUGGCUUCAACCAGCCCGUCUUGA